rnacentral:rRNA from 1 species
UAGGGAAUCUUCCGCAAUGGACGCAAGUCUGACGGAGCAACGCCGCGUGAGUGAAGAAGGAUUUCGGUUCGUAAAACUCUGUUGUUAGAGAAGAACAGCGCAUAGAGUAACUGUUAUGCGUGUGACGGUAUCUAACCAGAAAGCCACGGCUAACUACGUGUCAGCAGCCGCGGUAAUACGUAGGUGGCAAGCGUUGUCCGGAUUUAUUGGGCGUAAAGCGAGCGCAGGCGGUCAAUUAAGUCUGAUGUGAAAGCCCCCGGCUCAACCGGGGAGGGUCAUUGGAAACUGGUUGACUUGAGUGCAGAAGAGGAGAGUGGAAUUCCAUGUGUAGCGGUGAAAUGCGUAGAUAUAUGGAGGAACACCGGUGGCGAAAGCGGCUCUAUGGUCUGUAACUGACGCUGAGGCUCGAAAGCGUGGGUAGCAAACAGG